rnacentral:lncRNA from 1 species
UGGCGCUCCACAUGCUUUUCUCCGAUCCGUGGUUUAAGCGUUAAUCUCACCCCAAACACCCCUACCGCGACACGGCCCUCAGGGUAAACAGGGACGAUUGAGACCCAAGGGAGCUGCUGCACCGGGUCUAAAAGCCCAGUCCGGAUUGGGGCCAAGCCUCGGUUUCCCUUUCGGGACGAGAGGCUAGAGAGACCUGGGGGAUUGGAGAAGGAUCGCAUGGUGUUGCCCAGGUUGAAUUUGCAAUCCUCCUGCGUCAGCCUCCCAAGAAACUGGAGUAACAGGUGUAUGCCACCAGGUCCAGCUUGCCUUAACCGUUCCUGAGUGCACCAUUCAGGGCACAAAGCACCGUCUGUCCGAAGAACUUCACCUUGUCCAGCUGCACCUGCUGGUCCAGCUCCAGGCAGCCUGUCUGCUCUGUCCACCUGCCCGGUACCUACUCCACACCUUCUGGACCCGUGUACCUCACAAGAAGUCUUCAAGUCAGGUGCUGUUGGCCCUCCAACUCUGUUCUGUUCCUCUUUCUUUCUUUCUUUCUUUCUUUGUAAGUUGAUUUGGUUAUUUAAACCCUUUGCAUUUGGGGUUGAAUAUUCAAAUCAGGUUUUUAAUUUCUACCUCAAAUACAAAUCCUCUGUGAUUUGUAUUGGUAUUGCAUUAAAAUUAAAGAUGACUUUGGGGAGAAUUUAGUGUUCUGACCCAUGAAUGGGGCUCUCUCUCCACUUAUUGAGGUCUUUGAUUACCCUCAGAAAUUUUUAAUAAGGCCUCUACAUAUUUUGUCAAGUUUAUCUCUAAGUAUAUCUGAUGUUGGAAGUGAUGUUCUUAGAUUUCAAUUUCCAGUCAUUUGUUGCUAGUGUAUAGAAACGCAAUUGGUUUUUAUGUGUCAACCCUUGUAUUUUGUAGUUUUUGUAGGUAUUUUGAAUAUGCCAUAGGAUUUUCAGCGAGGAUAAUUAUGUCACCUACAAAUUAGGAGUUUUAUUUCGUCAGAUCAUUUGUUACCAAGUGGAAGGGAAGUGGGCAGAGUGGACAUCGCUGUCUUGUCCCAGUAUCAGGACCACGCUUCAGCCUUUCAUUGUUGAGUGCUGUGUUACCUGAAGCCUGGGCAUGUGCCCUUCAGCAAAUUACAGAAGUUCCCUUCUUGGACAGUUCAUUGAAAAUUUUGAUCAGGAAAGAAUGUUAAAUUUUGUAAAUGCUUUUUCUGGAGCUAUUAAGAUCUUGUGGGUUGUCCAUUUUGGACUAUUAGUGGUGAACUGUACUACCUAACAUUUCUAUUUUUUUUUUUUUGGUACCAGGUAUCAAACUCCAGACCUUGGGCUUGUGAGGCAGGUGGUGGAACCACUGAGCUAAAUCCUGGGCCCUAACAUUUCUAAUUUUUUUUGUUUUGUUUUUUUGGUACGAGGGAUUGAAUUCAGGACCUUGCGCUUGCAAGGCAGGCUCCGGAACCACUGAGUUAAAUCCCUGGCCCAACAUUUCUAAUGUUAAACCAGCCAUCGUUCCUGGGAUAAACCCAUCAUGGUUUAGUAUCUUUUGGAUGCCUUUUUUUGGGCUCAGUUUGCCUGUUUUUGUUAAGAAUUUCUGCAUCUAUCCAAGUAUAGUGGUGCACAGGAAGAUCACAAGUUUGAGGCCAGCCUGAGCAACUUAACCAUCCCAUGUCUCAAAGUUUAAAACUAAAAAAAAAACAGUUCUGGGCCGGGGAUUUAGCUCAGUGGUUCCACUGCCUGCCUUGCAACCGCAAGGACCCAAGUUCAAUCCCUGGUACCAAAAGAAUAAAUAAAUAAAUUUUUAAAAAUAAAAAGGUCCUGGGAUAUAGCUUAGUGGUAGAGUGCCCCUGGGUUCAAUCCCAGUAGCAGAGGAGGGCAAUUUCUGCACGUGUGUGACAGGUUUGUCAUUGUCUUUUCUCAUAAUGCUUGUUUGUUUUGGGCAUCAGAAUAAUGCUUGCUUCAUAAAAUGAGUUUGGAAUUAUUCCUUCCUUCUCAGUUUUCUGAAAGAGAUUGUGUGGAACUGGUGUUAUUUUAAUUACAGAUUCAAUUCCUUGAAUGUGGAGCUAUCCAGGGUCCCCCUUUCUUUUUGAUGAGCAAUAGAGGUUUGUAUUUCACAGAGCUCAUCCAUUUACUCUAAGUUCGCACACUUCCUGGCUUAGAGUUGCUCCUGAUAGUCCCUGAUUGCCCUUCUGCGCUGGACUCUGCGAUGCCCCUUCUUCCACUCCCAGUGUCACUGAUCUGUGACUUUCACUGUGGUGACCCCAUGAUCCAUGUGGCUCCUCGGUCGGUCUCUAUGGCCCAGUUUUCUCCGUGUUGUGGUCCCUACCCUUCCUCCCUGUGUGCUGAGGACCCUGCCCUGGUGACAGGCACUGUGGCUCUGACCUGCAGGGAGCUGGUUUUCCCUGGACUCUGGGCCGUGUCCUGUGUGCAGGUUUCCUGGGAGCAGCGAGCCUUGCGCUUCCUUUCAGCCUUGCCCAGUGGGACCAGGGCAGCGUGGAAUCCGGGGGCAGCAGCAUGCUGCAUCAGCGGCACGGGCCUCGUCUGGCAAUCGACGCCCUGCAAAGGAGGGUGUUUUCAAGCUCGAGCUUUGGGAGCAGGGGUUCAUGUCUGGUGUGAGGCCUGGUAACAUUUCUCUCCCACCUUGGGGGGUGACUUCCUCGGCGCUGGGCGGCUCCCCAUGCCCCAUGCUGGCUGAGGUCCAGGUAGGUUCUCAGGGGCCCUUGCUGGGUGCGUGUUCGGGCUCCGUGCUGCUUACCACACACCGGGCAUGGGGCUUCCAUGCCCUUUCCCAGCCUGGUCACUGCCUCAAGUGGCAGUGCCCAGUCCUUAGGAAUUCCUGGGGGAGAGUGAGCUUGGGCCUGCUACUCUAGAGCAUCACCUUUCUACUAAAGCCAUCCACACGUAUUCAUGUCCGGGUGAUGGGGUUCGCUGUGAUAGUCCCACACAUGCACACGCUGUCCUUUGAUCAUGUUUGUCCACCUCAGGAAGAGGCAUAUUUAAUGACUUCGAGAACAAGAAUGGAGCAGCUGUUGGCACCACUUCCACAGCACACCGGGAUCCCAGUCGGGCAAGAAGUCCAAAGUAUGAGAGUUGGUACCGUGAAAAAAGGCUGUUUCCAAACAUGAGUUUGUACGUAGGAAACACCUACAGGAAGCUGUUGGAAUUAGCAGAUUCCUCAACAGGAUGUGAAAAUCGCUCGGGAUAAGGGAAGAGAUUGGCCGGUCUGACUCAGACCAAUAACUUCUGUGCAAGCAAGGACAUCUGUGAGGCCCAGAAGCACUGUUUGCUGCACACCACUUACAGCUCUGCACUGGAGCAGAAAGCACUCACACGAGACCCCCAAAGCAAACACACAGCAGAAGACGAGCCAGUCUGCAUGUGAGCAGGACCUGGGCCACACUCCCCAGAGCACCUGAACAACUGCUCAGCACAACCCGCCAGGGAGAUGCAAACUAAACCAUGAAGAAAGAUCCCCGACCCAUCAGCCAGCACGCCGGGCUGGCACAGUGGGCGUGGCUCAGACCCAGAGCAGCACAAAGGUACCCUGCCCGAGCAGGGAUCGAACUCAGGACCUUGUGCUUUCAAGGAAGGCGGCAGAACCACUGAGCUAAAUCCCCAGCCCUCAGAAAAGCAUAUCUCAAGGAAACCGGGCCAACCACGAGGAGAGGCAACUGGUGACCUAAGGAACGAACUGUUCUGAGCACAGCUUUGAACCUGUCCUGCGUCCUCCCAGCCACACAGUCUCCUCACUGCAUGCAUUGCCCCAUGGCCUGUGGCACCGUGGCGGCCCGUGUGGUUCCUCUGACACAGCAAGACAGGUUCCCUGGCAGCAUCAACAAGAUGUUCUGCCUGCUGUCUGCAUUUCUGCCUCGAACCUGGAGGGCCCGUUUCUCCUGAGCUCCGCUUCUUCUAGAUGUGGCAUGCGUCUGGAAGCGGCCAGGCCUGAGUCAUAUCCAGACCUUGGCCGUGGACAGUCAGGAGAGAUGUUUUACUUUAAAACAUAACGUGUACCAGAAGUUCACAGAAGCUUUCUCUUCAGGCCUGCGCUUUUUUUGCUUCAUCUUCUUAAUUUUAAUCUGUGUUUCCUUUUUCUCAGUUAAAACGCCUGAUACAUCA